rnacentral:rRNA from 1 species
CCUACGGGUGGCAGCAGUGAGGCAUAUUGGUCAAUGGGCGCUAGCCUGAACCAGCCAAGUAGCGUGCAGGAUGACUGCCCUAUGGGUUGUAAACUUCUUUUAUAUGGGAAUAAAGUGCAGUAUGUAUACCGCUUUGCAUGUAUCUUAUGAAUAAGGAUCGGCUAACUCCGUGCCAGCAGCCGCGGUAAUACGGAGGAUCCGAGCGUUAUCCGGAUUUAUUGGGUUUAAAGGGUGCGUAGGCGGGUUGUUAAGUCAGUUGUGAAAGUUUGCGGCUCAACCGUAAAAUUGCAGUUGAUACUGGCAGCCUUGAGUACAGUAGAGGUAGGCGGAAUGCGUGGUGUAGCGGUGAAAUGCUUAGAUAUCACGAAGAACUCCGAUUGCGAAGGCAGCCUGCUGGACUGUAACUGACGCUGAUGCUCGAAAGUGUGGGUAUCAAACAGGAUUAGAUACCCGGGUAGUC